UUUUGUAAUUAUGUAUAUUUUGUAAUUUUUAUUUGUGUGUGUAUGUGUGUUUGUGCAUGUGUGUAUGUGUGCGUGUGUGUGUGAGAGAGAGAGAUUAAUUUCUUAAUUUCCCUAGAACUUUAUAUAUUGGUAAUUUGUGAGUCCUAAGAUUCAUGAGACAUCAUCCUGAGAAAAUCUGUAUUUAUUCUGUUAUACUAUUUAUCAAGACACUAAAGUUCUAGGACCAUUUUUAACAAAAGUAUCAGUUCAAUGGUUUUCAGAACAUACAAUGUGAUGCUUAUUUCUAGUUCCCACUGCACUGAUGACGUAUCUGUCUGAAUGAGCCAGUUUAACGUGGUUGUUCUCUUAUUAAAUUUCUUUUUUCAUUUUUUUUGAUAGGCCUUGGGCUCGCCUAGAUCAUGAAAAUCAGAAUCUAUGGUUUACCUUUAUUAGGAAACACUUGGAAGGCAAAAGGAGGUUUAUAGCUGUAGAACUGUAGCAUGGAUGAAAUAAGUAAUACAGUGAAUGCUGUCUAAGACUUCUGUAAAAAAAAAUAUAUUUCAGCCUUGACAAAAGACCCUGAAGCUGCCUAAGUGAACUUGACCACUUGAUCAUGAAGAUCUUGAUGUUGAAUGUUAUUCAUGAGAUCAUGAAUGACAUUCCACGAAUCUUGUUCUUUGUUCAUUGAUGUAUCAGCUUAUCUCAUAGUUUGUUUUGUAUUUCUUUUCUGAAAAAUUUUUUACUAUAACAAAUGUUUAUGUAGGGAAUUGUGUCUCAAUAUUUCAAAGACUAUGCAAGUUUAUUGUGGUGAAAACUGGAUUAACUUCUAAAAGGCUGUUAGGAAGGCUGUAAAAUAUUCUGAUGCAAAUCCAACUUUCAGCUGCCUGUGAAUAAAAUUGACUGGAACUUGCUGUUUGCCUAUUUCUCUAACUUUCUAUUUACAUCACAAGUAGAUCCAUCUAGUGAAAAAGACUGGAUCAAACUGGUCAUUAGCUAACAAGAAUUUUACUUUUAAUGCAUUUAGUUAGACAUUUCUGCAAUUUUAAUAUAAAAUUCUAAAAUAAAAAUAUAAAUAUUCACUAUACUUAUUCUGAACAGAAUAAUGCAUGACAGAAACAAAGAUAACAAAAAAAAUCUUGUUUUCAAAAUAUAUUACAUUUUUAUACUAUCUACAGAUAUUAUUUGAGUGCUUUUCUUUUUUUCUAUUUAGGAAACAUCUCUUCUAGGACAAGGUCAUUACUACCAAGAGACAGCACAAUGUCUUCUAAAGCAGAAGUUCAAUUAGGGAGUUGGAUAGGAGAAUGUGCCACUCAUAGAUGAGCAACAUUCCCAGACAUUAUCCAAAGGAUGGUAUUUUUAUAUUUGUGAAUAUAGUCCAAAACCUGGGCCUAUGCAGCAUAAGACCUCUCAAGUGACCUUCCAAACGCUAGAAAAUGCCUAAGGAAAUAGUUAUUUUAUCAUCUCUUUACCUAAAAAAUCAGCAUAAUGUUAAUUUUGAUAAAGUUAACCAAAAAGCAUAAAAAUCUUGAUAGACAUGAGAUGUGUCUGCUUUUUGCCUCAAGCAAUGUGAAUAUAUUAAUCUUAAAUUUCAAUGCAAGAUAGUGAAGGCAGAACUGAAGCCCUGAUUCCAGGGUUAUUAUGGACUGCAAUUACUGAAGUUAUGUCCUCACCUAGAAAGUGAAAACAAUAAUACAUUUUCUUUGGAUCUGGCAAGGUUUCUAUGACUGUUAAACGAGAUACUAUUUCCAAAUGACAUAAGUAUUUUAAAAAUUGUUACUCAAGCAAUUACAAUUGAUCUUUGUUGACUUUGGAUUGAUAUUUAUAUCUAAGUUGCAUAAUCUGAUGUAAAAUUGUACUUUUAUGAUUAAAUCACUUUAAAAGCAUAAAUAUAUUACUAUAUCACAAAAUUUCCUACAUAAUAGAUAGUCUAACAUAUUAUUUGCUGAUAUUAUUGAAAUAAAAGACAAAGUUCUCAAAUGUUAUAGGUUUCAGAGGCAGGUAAACCAGAGCAACUCCAUCUUGAGUAGGGGCUGUGUAAAAUGAGGCUGAGACCUUCUGUGCUGCUUUCCCAUGAGGUUAAGGCAUUCUUCGUCACAGGAUAAGAUAGGAGGUCAGCACAAGACACAUGUCAUAAAGACCUUGCUGAUUAAACAGGUCACAGUAAAGAAGAUGGCUAAAACCCACCAAAACCAAGAUGGAGACGAGAGUGACCUCCAGUUGUUCUCACUGCUACACUCCCACCAGUGCCAUGACAGUUUACAAAUACCAUGGCAAAGUCAAGAAGUUACCCUAUAUGGUCUAAAAAGGGAAGGCAUGAAUAAUCUGCCCCUUGUUUAGCAUAUAAUCAUGAAAAAAAACCAUAAAAAUGUGCUACCAGCAGUCCUCAAGGCUGCUAUGUCUGUGGAGUAGCCAUUCUUUAUCCCUUUAUUUUCCUAAUAAAUUUGCUUUCACUUUACUGUAUCACCCUGAAUUAUUUUUGCGUGAGAUCCGAGAACCUCUCCUGGGGUGUGGAUCCGGACCACUGUCCAGUAACAUAAGCCUAUCACUAUUAUAACUUCUGAAUUCAUUUUAACAUUGAAACCUCGUAACAACCAUGUGAUGAUAGGUAUUCUGAAGUGAGAAUAAUUUCUUUAUUGACAUUGUAACUGUUAAGGAAAUCUUGAUCUUGCUUUCUUGAGUGUUCUUCUUAUUACAUGUUGUGAAUGCACAAUAUUCUGUAAUAGAAAAUUAUAGAUUUUCAUGCUCAAUAAAUAAUAAAGAACUUUUAGAUUAUUCAGCGGACACAAUUUAAGAUUAUUGACAUUCUCUCACAGUUACUUACUGAUACAUCAGGUCUUGUGGAUUUCACCCAGCCUACCAAGUAUAUUUCUUCCUAUCAUUUUAAUUCCUAAAUACCACUUCAUAUUUUAUUUGAAAA
rnacentral:lncRNA from 1 species